UGCAACUCGAGUGCAUGAAGCUGGAAUCGCUAGUAAUCGCGGAUCAGAAUGCCGCGGUGAAUACGUUCCCGGGUCUUGUACACACCGCCCGUCACACCAUGGGAGUCGGGAAUGCCCGAAGCCGGUGGCCCGAUCGAAAGAAGGGAGCCGUCGAAGGCAGGCCGGAUGACUGGGGUGAAGUCGUAACAAGGUACC
rnacentral:rRNA from 1 species